UUUUAUUAAAAAAAAGUGUGAAUACUGGAGUGGCCGCAGAAAGGCGUUGCAGUUGUUUUGAGUCUCUAAGGUUGCGUUCUUGAGCGACGGCUACCCGGGAGGGUAGUGAGUUGGCUCUUUGCGGGAUCUGUCAAGAAUGCAACAGAAGAUGAUCCGGAUGCCACAGAAGACGCUAAGCCUUGCCGAUGCCGUACAUCUGGACAUGACGGCAGGGGAUUCAGGACGCGCUAAUGGCUUUCAAACUUUCCCGUAAAGACGGGAAUAUGGAGGAGGCUGAAUAAUUGACGGGGGAGCAUAUGCGAGAGCUGUCAGCAGGCAUCACUCUGCUGCGACUUCUGCUGACAGUGGAGAGAACAUCCAGAAUGUUACAGAAUGACAGACGUGUAUGUUGGACUCCUGACAGAUGGUACGGAAUUCACAAGUAUUUUACAUGUGACACAAUUUGUGUGCCUUAGCUUCAAAUGGGGAAAAAUGAUUUGGAACACAAAAUUUAUAGGAUCAUUAGCUCUGAAUAAGAUAUGCAGAAUAACGCAAUGUGGGCUAAAGAUAUGCAAUCAUCUCCACAGUCACUUGGCUUUGGAUAAAACUUUGUCGGAUAAAGCUAUGCGGUGUAAAGCUAUGUUGUCAUAAGCAUUGUCAUUUGGCUAUGGAUAAAACUAUGACUAGCUAUAUGGUAGUCGGCGUUAUCGUUUGACUCUGGAUAGGCCAUUUAAAUAAUUUUCCUGUCUCGAGCAAUUUGCUACGUGGUUAUCUGCAUAGUCAUCUAGCAACGGAAACAACAUUUCUAUGCAGUGGUCAACAAAUUCACUUUACUCUCGACAGCCCCAGACGCCGAAGCUAGGCUAAAGCCCUCCGCCGCCACCGAAGGUGGGCCACGAGCUCCGGCGGCAGGCCGCGAGUCGAGCGUCAACGUCCGGGGAGGUCUUUAGCCGAGCCUUGGUGGUGGCGGAGGGCUUUAGCCUAGUUUCGACGUCCGGGGCUAACAAAGCCACCACCGAAGCUUGGCUAAAGCCCUCUGCCGUCUGAAAGCUUGCCUUGCGGCCCGCCACCGGAGCUCGCUCGUCAGACUCCACGUCAUUCCCGUCCGUAGAACCAUCCGCGGCUGCCGGCCCGGAGCUCCCAGGGGCCUGUGUUUACGCUCUUAUGUUGUACGUAGGCCUCCGAGUAGUCAUACACCGCGUCAUUCCGCCCGAAGAACCAUCCGAAUAUUCAACAUUAAUUACAGCCAAAGGUCCACAUCUGUAUGAAAGUAUUCCUCCGUUUUCCCAAUCAACCGAUACUGCUAUUUCUUCAUCUGAUGAGGAAAAAUCCGAGAAAUCACAGCUGGGCAUAAUGGUGACCCAUGUAAUUGAGCGUUUGGAACGCCACGGUACACGUCACAUACGCCCACAUACAUCAUGUGACUCGCGAAAAUGGCAGCGCCCCUGAAAAUUCUGAAUUGUUGCCAAAAAUCUUCUCAAAACACUAUUAAAUGUGAGAGGAUUUAGCAUCACAUUGUCAAAAUAGGGUACAUAUUAAACGACCUAUUGGAUACACUGUUCAUACAAAGCACUGGAUUUCUCCUUUUAAAAAAAAAAGUGUGCUCUCUCACAGACAUACUAUCAGUUCAAUCAAGUCUUGUCUUGUAUGUCACAACCCUCAUCUAAUGGAAGACUGAAAUACUCACAUGAUUGGAGGUCUGAGUGCAACUGUGAAUCAGUAGCCAUGCUAAUGUCCAAUAUUCUUUGUUCAAUCGUGUGGCGGGACAGUUGAGGGUCUCAUACCAUCCAUCAUACCAUCGUUUAAAAUUGUUGUUUUCAGGACAAGAUUUCAGCGAUCAUGUCAUCAUGGCAUUUUUUUUUAAUAAAUUCCCCUUUAUUGUAUGGCUUUUUGCCCCUUGCAAUGUUCCAAGCCUAUUGGCAUGAUGCAAGAGUUAGAAUCUGGAUGCUUCUUUUUUUUUUUUAAACUGCAUCUGUUUUUCAGUCUGAUUUUUCAAAGUGACUGACUUGUUACUGCUAAAUUCAGUCACUUUUUGGAAAUUUUAGGUCAAUGUUAGCAUGGACUGAGUGGAAACGUCACUGAAGAUUUGAAGCUUUGAAAUCCGAUAAAGACGUUUGACACAAAAGGCACUGGCUGGCUGUUGAGCUCAACAAAAAAUAUGACCUCUGCAUCUCUGGUAAAAACGUCUGUGCUCAUCCACAUAUUUUCACUUAAUUGUGCAUUUUUGGCUUCCAUUUUGAGAUCGAAUUUGAUACAUUAUGUUCUCCAAAGAUCACUAUCUGAAUGGGAAACUGACCUAUUUUCAUUCUAAUGUGCAAGCCAGUUUUGCGAAAUUAUCGUAAUAAACUCAAGCAAAGGGCGCACGCAAAUACCGUAAAAAACUCAUGCAAAGUACGUGCACGCAUGCAAAUUAAAACAACAGAAUGUUAAUAUGCUUUCAUGUCUUCACAAGAGCUGCAUGAAAUGGGCCAAAGAGCUGCAUGCACCCAGAGAGCUCCGGGUUCGCCACCCCUGCUUUAAAGCAUGAUUAAAAAGAACUGAUAUGUUCUCUGUAAUCAUGCUCUAAAGUUAUGGAUGUUUUUGUCUCAUUGUUCUUCUUUUCGCCAAAUAUGCCACAGCGAUCUGUUAUCCAACAACAACUUCUUGCUACCAUGGUAACGGUUGUACAAUAUCCCAUUCUGGUGAAAGGUGACAGGUUUUCAGGUCAUGCCUCCCCGAAAGCAUUUAAUUUGACAAGAUAAAGCCCAGUAGUCAUAAAAUACAGGAUACAAUGGUUUCGGUAUACGUGUCAUGUAGUAUUGCCACAGUUUCGCCAAGAUACAGAAAGAUUUUACUGCAGUUGUCGGACAUGGUGCAUUUGGAAAGACCAAAAAUUGUCUUGUAGUAUGAUUCAGGCAUUGCAUCGGUUUGGGGUAAUUUUCGAUACAUUUAUCCAGAGCCAAAUCCGGAAGGCCACAGAUUUAUUUCGAGUGAAAUAACUACAAGUAUAUCCUGAGGUGAAUGAGUGUGCAGACGACCACAAUUUUUUUUUCCAGAACCUAAUGAUUAUGUAAAUGUUUUAUCUGGAGUCAAACUGAAGGAAGUUGCAUAGCUUCGCAUAGUUUUAUCCUGCACAAAAUGACAAUGCAGAUGGCCACACAGCUUUAUCCAGAGAAAAAUUACUCUUUCAACAGCUAAACUAAUGAGACAACCUAGGUGCUCCUCGUUUUCAUUUACUCCUAGUGAGAAACAGUGAAAGUUGCACAUACUAAUGUUGUCAUGAAAACAAAGGAGCGCACAAAAACAGGAAUGUCUUCACAUAGCAGAUGGCAGCAGCUGCCCCCACAACAGCAGCAGUCUUAAUAAUUGACAAGUUUUAGCAUUAGCAUUGUAACCACUAGGUGUCAACAGGGCUCCCCGGUUAUCGUUUACCCCCCAGCCCCAUUAUGAAAACACCAGACGAGGAGAUGGCUGUGAGGGGACCCUCUCAACAUGAACCCGGGCAUGGGUCCCUGAAUGGGGGUCUGGGGUGGGAACAAAGGCCAAUAUUAAGAGGACGACGCCCAAACUGUUGGGGCAGAUGAAGCUGGCAAAUUUAUGCCAAAACUCAGGGACCUGCCCGAAACGUGAGUACCACAGAGUUUGAUGGAACACAACGAAAAAGGGUGGGAGAAAAUGGUAUAAUCCCUCAAUUGACUGUAGUCUGAGUUUACAGGUAUGGGUGGCACUCGAGCCAACAGAUGGGCAGCAGAACACAAGCGGCAGGAGUGGCAGGAGGGUCCAACUGCCAAGAUUGUCAGUGUGGUGAAUUAUUUAGAGAGCAUGGAGGGUAAAAAAGGAAAAGGCUGGCAUUUGUCAACCCUAACCCUUUCUAAAAUCUAAUCCUAACAAUAAUUUUUAUUCCACUGAUAGGAUACCUCUGUAGCAUAGUCAUGGUUAUGGAUUAAAAGUCAGAGGACAAAGAUGGCAAUUUUUUUCUUGUUAACAGUAAAACCCCUUUAGAAACUACUUCUACCAUUUCGAAUUGAUUAUAUAGCAGAUAUAAAGCAGUUCAACCAAUAAAUAUGAUGCAGAAUCUGGCUUCUACUUGUUGCAUCCAGCGCCUUCCAGUUUUCGGCUCUCUCUUCAGCACUGUGACGUUACACGAACUAAACAACCGAUUAUUCGACGUUGAGUGCCAUUGUUCCAUACUGUCAAUCCUUGUGUAUUUCUUGUCAUAUGAUUGAACAAUGUCACAAUGGUUUAUUGUGUGGCAUUUGGUUGUACAAUUUUUUCUGAGAGUGGUGAAAAUUUUUUUGUUUUGGGUCUUCAAGUAAAAAAGGAAUAUCAGUGGAUAGAAAAAGUCAGUCGACAGGGGAAAAAAAAAAUGUGAUCAGCUAUAGGUGCCUAGCAAGAUUUCCAAACUCUGUGUUGAUCACUUCUAACCGGCAAGCAUUGGGUACAGAUGUAGAGGCUCAAGUCAGCGGUGGGAGCAACUAUUUUUCCUAUGGCCAUCAGGACCUCAACCACCAGCAAGAGAACAAAAUCUUGCAGACGCCAUGGAAAAGCAGCGCAGACCGGAGUUCUCAAUUUCCUUUGUGGAGUUCUGGAUUGUUGAACAACCAGGAAUGGCUAUUGCUCAAUGUGCAUCCAUGAAGGGGACGUUCGACAGAUCUUCAAACACCAGGCACCAAGCACCAGGCCCAGAUCGUGUGUCCCCAUCCUGCCUCAAAGUCUGCGCAGACCAACUUGCUCCUGUCUUUGCAAAAAUCUUCAACAGGUCUCGAGAACUGGGUGAAGUACCUGCCUCCUUCAAACGCACAACCAUUAUACCGGUCCCCAAAAAAUUAGCAGUCUCAGGUCUUAAUGACUACAGGCCUGUUGCCUUGACAUCUGUGGACAUGAUAUCCUUUGAACGCCUUGUGCUGGACCAUCUCAGAAGGGUCACAGGUCCCCAAUUGUACCCACUGCAGUUUGCCUAUCGAGCUAACAGGUCUGUGGAUGAUGCCGUCAACAUGGGCUUGUACUUCAUCCUUUAACAUUUCGACAACGAGGCUCAGCGUCUCGCCUGCCAUCUCCCAGUGGAUUUGCAACUUCCUGACUGGCAGGACACCACAGGUGUGGCUGUGGGACACCACCUCAUCCACGCGCACUAUCAGCACCGGGGCACUGCAAGGUUUUGUCUUCUCCCCUCAACUCUUCUCUCUCUACACGAACGACUGCACCUCGUGGCAUCCUACAGUCAAACUCCUGAAGUUCGCAGAUGACACCACGGUCAUCGGCCUCAUCAAAGACGGCGAGGAGUCUGCGUAUCGACAGGAAGUGGAAAGACUGGAGGUGUGGUGUGGUCAACACAAUCUGUCGUUGAACACUCUAAAUACUGUGGAGAUGAUUGUGGAUUUCAGGAGGCAUCCUUCACCACAGCUGCACUUGACGCUGUCCAACUGCCUUGUUUCAACCAUCGAGACUUUCAAGUUCUUGGGAAUUACAGUCCCAGAGGACUUGAAGUGGGGUACGAACAUCACCUCCAUUCUCAAAAAAGCCCAGCAAAGGAUGUACUUCUUGCGGCUUCUAAGGAAACACGGCCUGUUACAAGAGCUGCUGAGAUAGUUCUGCACAGCGGUUAUCAAAUCAGGACUGUGUACCUCCAUCACAGUCUGGCUUGGAGCCGCCACAAAAAAGGACUAACUCAGACUACAACGGACAAUCAAAACUGCUGAACGGAUUGUCGCCACUACACUAACCACUAUUGAGGACUUGCACGCAACUACCCACUAUCGAGGACUUGCACGCAACAUGAACCAGGUCUAGAGCAAGCAGGAUAACAUCCUGGCCACCAGCUCUUCCAGCUCCUUCUGUCGGGAAAGCGAUACAGAUCAAUGAAAGUCAAAAGUAACAGGCAUUCAAGAGGUUUUUUCCCUCUGGCAAUUAAGUCAUUAAAUUCCUGAUCAGCGAUCAGCGUUCAUCUAAGAUGACACACUGUGCUGACCCCUGACGGAGCAAACCGAAAGGAAAAGAUGACGACGACUCUGUAAAAAUAACUACAGCACAUACAUUUUGGUCGGCACGGUUGUUCAGCUGGUAAAGCGUUGGCCUCACAGUUCUGAGUCCCGGGUUGAAUCCCGGACCCACCUGUGUGGAGUUUGUUUUCCCCGUGCCUGCAUGGGUUUCCUCCGGGCACUCCAGUUUCCUCCCACAUCCCAAAAAACAUGCAACAUUAAUAGGACACUCUAAAUCGCCCCUAGGUGUGAUUGUGAGUACAACCGUUGUCUGUCUCCAUGUGCACUGCAAUUGGCUGGCAACCAGUUCAGGGUGUACCCCGCCUCCUGCCCAUUGACAGCUGGGAUAGGCUCCAGCACUCCCUGCGACCCUCGUGAGGAUAAGCAGCAAAGAAAACAGAUAUAUAUAUAUAUGUAUAUAUAUAUAUAUUCACUGAUUUUACUUUAUUUAUUUUGCAGACCGCACGAUUCAUCACUUAAACUGCUCCCUUUGCACAAAUGACAUUGUCAACACACUUAUCUAUAUAGAUUUCACAUCUUGUCUUAUAAGGAAUAAUUCCUAUAAAUGGAAAUGUCUCUUGUUCUUGUUGCUAUGUAGAUCCUUGUCCUGUUUUCUGUUUUGUAUGUCGUACUAGGGCAGCACCUUAACCAGCACUUAACAAGUUGGAGAAAAAUUCCUUGUGUGUUCUACAGACUUGGCCAUUAAAGAUGAUUCUGAUUCUGAUUUCCACAAAACUAUUUAAUCCUUGGGUGAAAUUUCUAGACAUCGGAAACUGCCCUGUUCAUCUUUCAAGACAUGCCGGUCAGAGUGUGUUACUAAUAAAUCACACAAAGUUUAUGUGAAUAAAUCAAUUUACAACACAUUUUCAUUUGGAGAAUCAAAGACAGACAUAAAUCAGAUUAUUGUGGGGAUUUUUAAAAAAUUGAAGUUUAGAGAAAACUAAGCAAUAUGAGCAGAUGCAGGAAUUUUUAUCCGACCCCUCAUAUUUCCUGCUCAUUGACUAACAAUAUUGGACUGACAGCUACAGUGGGGGACACAAUCCACAUUUUGUACAAGUACUUAAAUGAGGGUAAAGGUUACGAGUAGUGUCUUUUUCACAGUUAUUUAGAACAUUCGUCAAUUGAUUAGUAAGUUCACGAUUUGAGUGAUUAUCAUCCGUUAUUAUUGUUUUUAUAAAUAACUAGUUACAAUAGCUUCUUCAUUUUGAAAAAAGGUUUGAUGUUUUUUCAAACGCUGAUCCAAGAUUAGAUUGGGGGCACAAACCAGUGCAAUCUGUAGGCCGGUCCCAAGCCCGGAUAAAUGCAGAGGGUUGCGUCAGGAAGGGCAUCCGGCAUAAAAACUGUGCCAAACAAAUAUGAGUGUUCAUCUAAAGAAUCCCAUACCAGAUCGGUUGUGGCCCGGGUUAACAACACCCGCCCCCGGCACUGCUGACCUGCAGGGCGUCGGUGGAAAUUCAGCUACUGUGGGUCGAAGACAAAGAAGAAGAGGAAACCGGAUCCAUCGUCAGAAGAAAAAGAGGAAUGGCUAGGAAUGUCUUGGAGGUGAAAAGAGUAUCAGAUUGAGUGAUGAGACUAAAAUUUGAAAUUGAGGGUGUUAUGUAUAAUGUGGUUAGCGGCUAUGCCCCACAGGUAGGAUGUGACCUAAAGUUGAAAGAGAAAUUCUAGAAGGAACUAGAUGAAAUGGUUCUGAGCAUCCCAGACAGCGAGAGAGUUGUGAUUGGUACAGAUUGUAAUGGACAUAUUGGUAAAGGAAACAGGGGCAAUGAAGAAGUGAUGGGUAAGUACGGCAUCCAGGAAAAGAACUUUGAGGGACAGAUGGUGGUGGACUUUGUAAAAAGGAUGGAGAUGGCUGUAGUGAACACUUGUUUCCAGAAGAGGGAGGAACAUCUAGUGACCUACAAGAGCGGAGGUAGAAGCACGCAGGUGGAUUAUAUUUUGUACAGACGAUGUGAUCUGAAGGAGAUUACUGACUGUAAAGUAGUGGUCGGGAGAGUGUAGCUCGACAGCAUGGGAUGGUGGUGUGUAGGAUGACUCUGGUGGUGGGUAGGAAGAUUAAGAAGACAAAGGUAGAGCAGAGAACCAUGUGGUGGAAGCUGAGAAAGGAAGAAUGUUGUGCGGGGAGGUGAGACAGGCUCUCGAUGGACAGUAGAAGCUCUCGGAAGACUGGACUACGACAGCCAAGGUAAUCAGAGAGACAGGCAGGAGAGUACUUUGUGUGUCUUCUGGUAGGAAAGUGGUGAAGGAGACCUGGUGGUGGAACACCAAAAUGCAGGGAGUCAUACAAGGAAAGAGAUUAGCGAAGAAGAAGUGGGACACUAAGAGGACUGAGGAGAAGCGAAAGGAGUACAUCGAGAUGCGACGUAGGACAAAGGUAGAGGUGGCAAAGGCUAAACAAGAGGCAUAUGAAGACAUGUAAACCAGGUUGGAUACGAAAGAAGGAGAAAAGGAUCUCUACAGGUUGGCCAGACAGAGAGAUAAGAGAUGGGAAGGAUGUGCAGUAAGUAAGGGUGAUUAAGGAUAGAGAUGGAAAUGUGUUGACUGGUGCCAUUAGUGUGCUAAAUAGAUGGAAAGAAUACUUUAAGAAGUUGAUGAAUGAAGAAAAUGAGAGAGAAGAAAGCGUUGAAGAGGCAAGUGUGAAGGACCAGGAAGUGGCAAUGAUUAGUAAGGGGGAAGUGUCUGGUGUGUUAUGUGACAGAAGAGUCUCUGCCAGGAUUAAGGGCAAAGUUUACAAAACAGUAGCGAGGCAGGCCAUGAUGUACGGAUUAGAGACUGAGGCACUGAAGAAACAACAGGAAGCAGAACUGGAGGUGGCAGAAAUGAAGAUGUUGAGGUUCUCGCUCGGAGUGACCAGGUUGGAUAGGAUUAGAAAUGAGCUCAUUAGAGGAACAGCCAAAGAUAGAUGUUUUGAAGACAAGAUUCAAGAGAGCAGACUUCGAUGGUUUGGACAUGUUCAGAGGCGAGAGAGUGAGUAUAUUGGUAGAAUGGUACUGAGGAUUGAGCUGCCAGCCAAAAGAGCAAGAGGAGGACCAAAGAGAAGGUUUAUGGAUGUAGUAUGGAAGACAUGAGGGCAGUUGGGGUUAGAAAGGAAGAAGAUAGGCUAAGGUGGAAAAAGAUGACACCCUGUGGCGACCCCUAAUGGGACAAGCCGAAAGGAAAAGAAGAAGAUGCCAAAAACAAGUACAACCAUCUUAAUGAAUCACAGAUUUGUGCGUGAAACAUGCACACGCAUGAUUUCAACACAAUUCUUAGAGUAUGCAUGAUUGGUAAAUGACCCCUGAUGUUUUGGAGUGGCCAUCGCAAGGCCAGGAUCUAAAUUCCAGUCAAGAUUUAUGGGCAUGGAUAGGUAGUUACCACAUCUGCCUCACAGUUCUGAGUACCCAGGUUCAAAUCGGGCUGUCCAAAUAUGAGUGGGAACAUUUUUUUUUACUUUCUAUGUGCCCUCCGAUUGGCUGGCAACUAGUUCAGGUUGGAACCUCGCUCUCUCCUGAACACACUGGGAAAGCUAAGAAAGUAUAGCUGCGACACUAAUCAAGUGAAGAAUCGUGGUGUAGAAAAAUGGACGGAUGGAUUUACGGGCAGACCUGAAAAGGCGUGUGUAAGAAAGGGGGCCUAUAAACUUGGCUCAUUCACACCUGUUCUGUCAGAAGGAGUGGGCCAAUAUUCCUGUCAGCUAUUCUAAAAAUCUUGUGAAAGGACAUCCAAAUCAUUGAACCCAAGUCGUACAGUUUAAAUGCAUUGGAAAGAAAUGCCAAUUAAAGGUGUGUAAAUGUCUAACUUUAAAGAAAAUAAUUAAAACCUAAAAAAAAAAAAAAUUCAUUCUGAGUCAUUAUUCUGGGAUUUAUGAAAGUGAGUUAAUAUGGAUAGCAUAUUUCAUAUUACACUUCAACACAAAGUGCUUUACAGAAAUUCACCAAAUACGACAAUAUAUACAACAACAUUCCCCUACAUCCGCAUAUAUAAAUGUAAAACAUGUCCGCCUGUACACAUACAUGCAUGCGCACCCACACACACACACACACACACACACACACACACCACACACACACACACACACACAAACGCACACACACGGCAUACAUUGGUAAAUAGUCUAGAGACAUACGGCACUGAGAAUCCAAAUUUGGAAGAUAGAAAUAAUUUUCGUCGUCCUAAUGGUUCUGUCCAAUUUCAUGUCCCGCAACGAUAAAGAAAUAUAGCAUGUGUCUUUGUAUAAUUUAUAUAAAUAUCUGGUUUCAACUCGACAUAAAAUUAGUUUGUUAAGUGUGCUAAAUUCUUUUGAUAUUUCGUGAACACAGAUG